AUAUUUGGCUUUAGCUGAUUUUCCUACAUGUUUCAUGUUAAACGUGCUAAAUGCUUUACCGCUUUGUUAUUAUCCGGAAUGUAUAUAAACUGUGACGAAACCCUUCUCAUCUCACCUACGGGGAUGUGCUUACUGGUUGAGACUCCCUAUUUUGUUUGUAUCGUACCUUGAAUUUCAAUAGAGGCUCGAACGAGAUACUAAGCCAGACGAUCUUG
rnacentral:lncRNA from 1 species